rnacentral:rRNA from 1 species
GGCGGACGGGUGAGUAAUACGUGGGUAACCUUGCAUCUGUAAGACUGGGAUAACUCCGGGAAACCGGGGCUAAUACCGGAUGGUUGUUUGAACCGCAUGGUUCAAACAUAAAAGGUGGCUUCGGCUACCACUUACAGAUGGACCCGCGGCGCAUUAGCUAGUUGGUGAGGUAACGGCUCACCAAGGCAACGAUGCGUAGCCAACCUGAAAGGGUGAUCGGCCACACUGACGGACUGAUAACACGGCCCAAACUCCUACGGGAGGCAGCAGUAGGGAAUCUUCCGCAAUGGACGAAAGUCUGACGGAGCAACGCCGCGUGAGUGAUGAAGGUUUUCGGAUCGUAAAGCUCUGUUGUUAGGGAAAAACAAGUACCGUUCGAAUAGGGCGGUACCUUGACGGUACCUAACCAAAAAGCCACGGCUAACUACGUGCCAGCACCCGCGGUAAUACGUAGGUGGCAAGCGUUGUCCGGAAUUAUUGGGCGUAAAGGGCUCGCAGGCGGUUUCUUAAGUCUGAUGUGAAAGCCCCCGGCUCAACCGGGGAGGGUCAUUGGAAACUGGGGAACUUGAGUGCAAAAGAGGAGAGUGGAAUUCCACGUGUAGCGGUGAAAUGCGUAGAGAUGUGGAGGAACACUCNAGUGGCGAAGGCGACUCUCUGGUCUGUAACUGACGCUGAGGUAGCGAAAGCGUGGGGAGCGAACAGGAUUAGAUACCCUGGUAGUCCACGCCGUAAACGAUGAGUGCUAAGUGUUAGGGGGUUUCCGCCCCUUAGUGCUGCAGCUAACGCAUUAAGCACUCCGCCUGGGGAGUACGGUCGCAAGACUGAAACUCAAAGGAAUUGACGGGGGCCCGCACAAGCGGUGGAGCAUGUGGUUUAAUUCGAAGCAACGCGAAGAACCUUACCAGGUCUUGACAUCCUCUGACAAUCCUAGAGAUAGGACGUCCCCUUCGGGGGCAGAGUGACAGGUGGUGCAUGGUUGUCGUCAGCUCGUGUCGUGAGAUGUUGGGUUAAGUCCCGCAACGAGCGCAACCCUUGAUCUUAGUUGCCAGCAUUCAGUUGGGCACUCUAAGGUGACUGCCGGUGACAAACCGGAGGAAGGUGGGGAUGACGUCAAAUCAUCAUGCCCCUUAUGACCUGGGCUACACACGUGCUACAAUGGACANGAACAAAGGGCAGCGAAACCGCGAGGUUAAGCCAAUCCCACAAAUCUUGUUCUCAGUUCGGAUCGCAGUCUGCAACUCGACUGCGUGAAGCUGGAAUCGCUAGUAAUCGCGGAUCCAGCAUGCCGCGGUGAAUACGUUCCCGG